AUUGAACGCUGGCGGCAUGCUUUACACAUGCAAGUCGAGCGGCAGCGCGGGCUUCGGCCUGGCGGCGAGUGGCGAACGGGUGAGUAAUACAUCGGAACGUGCCCAGUAGUGGGGGAUAGCUCGGCGAAAGCCGGAUUAAUACCGCAUACGACCUGAGGGUGAAAGCGGGGGAUCUUCGGACCUCGCGCUAUUGGAGCGGCCGAUGGCAGAUUAGCUAGUUGGUGGGGUAAAGGCCUACCAAGGCGACGAUCUGUAGCUGGUCUGAGAGGACGACCAGCCACACUGGGACUGAGACACGGCCCAGACUCCUACGGGAGGCAGCAGUGGGGAAUUUUGGACAAUGGGCGAAAGCCUGAUCCAGCAAUGCCGCAUGUGUGAUGAAGGCCUUCGGGUUGUAAAGCACUUUUGGCGGGAACGAAAAGGACUGUGCCAAUACCACGGUUCGAUGACGGUACCCGCAGAAUAAGCACCGGCUAACUACGUG
rnacentral:rRNA from 1 species